GUGUGUAUGCCAGUAUGUCUGUGUGUGUGUAUGCCAGUAUGUCUGUGUGUGUGCCAGUAUGUCUGUGUGUAUGCCAGUAUGUCUGUGUGUCUGUGUGUGUGUGUGUGUGUCAGUAUGUCUGUGUGUGUCUGUGUGUGUAUGUCAGUGUGUGUGUGUGUGUGUGUGUGUGUCAGUGUGUAUGCCAGUAUGUCUGUGUGUGUGUGUGUCAGUAUGUCUGUGUGUGUAUAUGUCUGUGUGUGUGUGUGUGUGUGUCAGUAUGUCUGUGUGUAUGCCAGUAUGUCUGUGUGUGUCUAUGUAUGUCUGUGUGUAUGCCAGUAUGUCUGUGUGUGUCUAUGUAGGUAUGUCUCUGUGUGUGUGUGUGUGUGUGUACGUGUGUGUCAGUAUGUCUGCCAGGAUAUAUUUGUGUGUCAGUGUAUGUGUGUGUCAGUAUGUAUCUGUGAAUGUUUUAAUGUCUGUCUGUGUGUAUGUGCCAGUACGUCUGUCUGUGUGUAUGUCAGUAUGUCUGUG